rnacentral:sRNA from 1 species
AGUAACGAUGGCAAGGAGAGAUGACCUCUCAUUUUGCCAAGAGAUGAAAUUAGGAAUAAGAUGGUAGAAUACCUGACAGACUGGGUUAUGGGAACAUCAAACCAAGCAGCAGAUGAUGUAAAAUGUCUUAUAAGGCAUCAGGUACCUGAAAAAGAAGAGAUCAAGGCUUUGAAAACGUUGAGUAUUUUCUACCAAGCUGGGGCUUCCAAAGCUAGGAAUCCUAUUUUUUAUUAUGCUGCAUGGGGAGUUAUUGAAAUAGUCAUAGAUGGGUGUAUGUGCGGGGGAGAAGAUGGCGGCGGCGGGGGAAGCAGCGUGAGCAGCCUGAGGAGCACCGAGUCCCAUUGAAACUGGCAGCC